UGGUGAGGUAAUGGCUCACCAAGGCGACGAUCCCUAGCUGGUCUGAGAGGAUGAUCAGCCACACUGGAACUGAGACACGGUCCAGACUCCUACGGGAGGCAGCAGUGGGGAAUAUUGCACAAUGGGCGCAAGCCUGAUGCAGCCAUGCCGCGUGUAUGAAGAAGGCCUUCGGGUUGUAAAGUACUUUCAGCAGUGAGGAAGGUAUCGUAGUUAAUAGCUGCGGUAUUUGACGUUAACUGCAGAAGAAGCACCGGCUAACUCCGUGCCAGCAGCCGCGGUAAUACGGAGGGUGCGAGCGUUAAUCGGAAUUACUGGGCGUAAAGCGCAUGCAGGUGGUUUGUUAAGUCAGAUGUGAAAGCCCGGGGCUCAACCUCGGAAUAGCAUUUGAAACUGGCAGACUAGAGUACUGUAGAGGGGGGUAGAAUUUCAGGUGUAGCGGUGAAAUGCGUAGAGAUCUGAAGG
rnacentral:rRNA from 4 species